rnacentral:rRNA from 1 species
UACGUAGGUGGCAAGCGUUGUCCGGAAUUAUUGGGCGUAAAGCGCGCGCAGGCGGUUCUUUAAGUCUGAUGUGAAAGCCCACGGCUCAACCGUGGAGGGUCAUUGGAAACUGGAGAACUUGAGUACAGAAGAGGAAAGCGGAAUUCCACGUGUAGCGGUGAAAUGCGUAGAGAUGUGGAGGAACACCAGUGGCGAAGGCGGCUUUCUGGUCUGUAACUGACGCUGAGGCGCGAAAGCGUGGGGGGCAAACAGG